GUGACCUCAAAUCAGGUAGGACUACCCGCUGAACUUAAGCAUAUCAAUAAGCGGAGGAAAAGAAACUAACAAGGAUUCCCCUAGUAACUGCGAGUGAAGCGGGAAAAGCUCAAAUUUAAAAUCUGGCAGUCUUUGGCUGUCCGAGUUGUAAUCUAGAGAAGUGCUAUCCGCGCUGGACCGUGUACAAGUCUCCUGGAAUGGAGCGUCAUAGAGGGUGAGAAUCCCGUCUUUGACACGGACUUGCCAGGGCUUUGUGAUGUGCUCUCGAAGAGUCGGGUUGUUUGGGAAUGCAGCUCAAAAUGGGUGGUAAAUUCCAUCUAAAGCUAAAUAUUGGCGAGAGACCGAUAGCGAACAAGUACCGUGAGGGAAAGAUGAAAAGAACUUUGGAAAGAGAGUUAAACAGUACGUGAAAUUGCUGAAAGGGAAACGCUUGAAGUCAGUCGCGUUGUCCAGGGAUCAACCUUGCUUUUGCUUGGUGCACUUUCUGGUUGACGGGUCAGCAUCAAUUUUGACUAUUGGAAAAAGAUUAGGGGAAUGUGACAUCUUUGGAUGUGUUAUAGCCCUUGGUUGCAUACAAUGGUUGGGAUUGAGGAACUCAGCACGCCGCAAGGCCGGGUUUUCAAACCACG
rnacentral:rRNA from 1 species